UAACUGAAUCAUGGGGGCAGGUCUUUCCUGUGCUGUUCUUGUGAUAGUGAAUAGGUCUCACAAGAACUGAUGGCUUUAAAAACAAGAGUUUCACUGCAUAAGCUCUCUCUUGGCCUGCCACCAUCCAUGUAAGAUGUGACUUACUCCUCCUUGCCUUCUGCCAUGAUUGUGAGGCCUCCCCAGUCAUGCGGAACUGUAAGUCCAUUAAAUCUUUUUUUUUUUUUUUCCUUUGGUAAAUUGCCAAGUCUUGGGUAUGUCUUUAUUAACAGUGUGAAAACAGAUUAAUACAAGUGGUAACAGCAUUUUGUUUAGAAAUAAGGGAGGUGAUACCAGAAGAAACAGUACAGAUACCAGAAGAGCAGAACAUGGUUGCUUUGGAAAGCAGGAAUUGAGAAUAUGGAAAAGUGGGGCAGGAAAGUGCUGUUUUUUGGCAAUAAUCUUUGCAUAACUGCUUCUGUCCACUAUUGUAGAUACAAAUAUUACUUUGCUAAAGGUUAACUUCUUUAACCCCAUUUGGUUAAGAAGAGCAGCAAAGUAUUCUUGAAAGAAGUAGCUUAUUUGAUUGGCUGCUGUGUUAGACCCUUAUAUUCUACCUUGAAGCGGAAGGUCUUUCCUGAUCAAAGAUUGUAUGGUACCACAUUGUUCUUUUAAAAUUACUUGCCAUUUAUCCAACAAGCAUUUACGGUGCACCAACAAUGAGACGGGCUCUGAGCUAGGCACCGGCUCUGCUUUUCUUCAACCCAUGAGGCCUUUGCUGCCCAGAAGCAUGGCUCACAGUGAGGCCAGUAUGAAAAGGGGCACCUGAGACAAGGACGAUUGCCCUCUGCACCCACCCUUCCACCCCGUGUCUCUCACGUAGACAAGGGCAGUAGCCUCGUAUUGAGACACCCACUCUCCUCCUUUGUCCUCAUACAACCUAUUCACACAGGAGCCAGAGGAGUCCUUUUAACGUAGGUUAGAUCAGUUCAUUCUGCUGCCUCCAACCUCUACAUCUUCCCGGCUCAUUCGGCAUAAAAUCCAAAUCCCUCCAUGAUCAAAAGGCUCCACCCAGCUGGGCCUCUUACUGACUCUCCUGAACAUUCACAACCCCUGACAUCCCUCUCCUGUCUUCAUCUGCUUCUACCACUAAUACUAUGAUGCACGCAAUUACUUAGUAUCUCUUUCUGCACCAUGGACCACAACAAACAAGGCUAGUGACUUCACUGUGGUCAUUACCGCAGCCCCCGCACAUGGGACAGGGCCUGACACUAGGCAUUCGUAGCUAGUUGUUGAGUGAAUACAAGAACAGUAAGGAGGCACUGAAGAUGACGUUAGUAGGUGAAUGGUAACAGGUUUGAGCAUUAAAAAAACAUUAUUGAGGUAGAAUACACAUACGAGUUAACAUCUUUACCAUUUUUAAGUGUACAAUUCAGUGGUAAUAAAAACAUUCAUAUUCUCUUUUUCCCGUUAAUCCCCCAACUCCAGCCCCAUCCUCUGGCCUCUGGUAACCACCAAUCUGUUUUCUAUUUUCAUGAGACCCCUUUUUUUUUCUUUGAGACAGAGUCUCUCUCUGUCACCCAGGCUAGAAUGCAGUGGUGCUAUUUCAACUUAUGGCAACCUCUGCCUCCCAGGUUCAAGUGAUUCUUGUGCCUCAGCCCCCCAGCUGGGAUUACAAGCAUGUGCCACCACACCCAGAUAAUUUUUGUAUUUUGUAGUAGAGAUUAACCAUAUUGGCCAGUCUGGUCUCAAACUCCUGGCCUGAAGCGAUCCACCCCCCUUGGCCUCUCAAAGUGCUGGAAUUACAGGUAUGAGCCACUGCACCCAGCCUGAGAUCCACUUUUUUAGCUCCCACAUGUGAGUGAGAAAACGUGAUACUUGUCUUUCUAUGCUUGACUUAUUCCACUUAACAUAAUGGUCUCCAGACUUGAGCACUUCUAAACCAUCACACUUCCUGCUGUGUGAAGAUACAUUGCAAAUAAGAAUAUCUGCAGAGACACAGGAAGCCCCGAGGGGAGGGCCAGUAUUGCAGUGAGGAGCCUGGGUCAUCAGUGGCACUGGCAGAAGGGAUGGUGAGACCUUGAAAGCCACAGCACACAUUUAGGAGGUAGAGCCUCUAGGCUUAGGGACUGCUCAUGUUUGGGACUGAUGUGCAGAAAGUGGUCCAAGUGGUAUCCAGGUUUCCAGACCCUUGAGGAAAUGGUGGUAAUUGGUGUUUGAGGGAAACAAUAAUGAAUGUUGUAUUAUUAGUAGUAUGAAGUAACAAGGUUGAGGUUAUUGAUGACUGCAGUUAUUAGGUGGCAUGUUACACAGGUGACUCAGGAGACAUGUCUAGGCUGGAGAAACAAGUCAUUAGGAUCUAGAAGGUAAUGGAAUCUGUGGAGGUUGGUUCACCCAGUCAGAGCUUACAGAGUGAGAUGAGAAGAGGCCAAAAACAAAAUUUUGAGAAACCCUGAUUGUCAUACAUGUCAUGAUAUUCUACCUCUAGGCUGAGGCACUCAUUGCCCAGAGGCUGAGCCUUCCCUUGGAAUUGCCCGCAUUCAAAGACAGCUGCUUUACCCAGGGUCCUAUCCCCUUCCUGGAGACAACCCUCGUCUGAUACCUGAUCAGGUGUAUCUCCCAAGAGGAUUUCCCAAAAUCCCCCUACACAUACAUAUCUAUUUCGCAGUCAUGAAAUAGAGAAACCCAACCUGCCACAUCAAUACUUAAGGAAGAUACAGAAGUGGCUGAUCUGAGGAAAAGCAAGAGAGAUAGAAGGUGAUCCUGGCUGAUGUAGGGCUAAGGAAGCAAAGAAAGGGCUUUAUUCAAGAGAGAGGCAGGUUUGAAAAUCCAUGAGGUCAAGCAAGAUGCAUAUUGAAAAUUGAUCAUCGGAUUAAGCAAUAAGAAGGCUAUUGAUGACCGCCAAGUGUUGCUUUCUUGGAGUGGAGGAGGUAGAAGUCAGAUGUCAUUGUGCUGAUAGGAACGGCAGAAGAUGAGAUGUGGUGAGUGGUGACUCUUAAGUUGAGAGAGACUUGAGCACAUCCAAACACUGGAGGGAGAGGUAACCGACCCAGGGAAUGUAGAGGCCAACCAAUGGGACAAGGUCUGGGAGCGGUGGCAGCAUCUUCCAUCACAAGCACAGUCAAAGAAAUAGCCUUGUGUGGGAGGAGGCCACAUCUUCCACUAAGAGGUGAGAAUAAAUGCUGGCGGGUGUGGGGAUUAGGUGGCAGCAAAGACACAGGCCAGCCUCACUUGUUCCUCCCACCAGCGUGGGUAAGAGCAGACUCAGUGCUGGAUGCUGUGUUCAGGCUGGGGGUACUGCUGUAAGUUAAGACACAGUCUGCCAGGAGUGACUUACAGUAAACAUUUCAAAGUUCCACUUUCUUCUUAUUGUCUGCGGGAAUCUUGACCUUCAAGUUUGCUCCCAUUUGAAGUGACUUUGCCCCCAAAUAUGCCUCUACUUUGCAUCAUUGCUUUCUGCUUUUCUCCCAAUGUUUCCUCAUAUAAGUCCUUGGCUCACUCAAUGGGCUUAAUAUCUUUACCCCAGUAUAUUUUUCUGACAAUCUCCACAAAACAGAACCAAAACAGAGUAGUCAUAAAGAUUCUCCAUGAUCUCAUGCCUUACCCAGGGCUCUGCAGGGGGCAGGUGCUCUCCACGCCUGUUAAAUAAAGAAGCAAGUAAAUUCAAGUGUUUCACCCAGUCCCUCUGUGUAGUGAGCGCAUUUAAUUUUAAGGGGCCUCAGUGACUGUUUUCAAUGUGGGUUUAGCUUUCUCAUCCCAGAGGCAGGGCUCAGGCACCCUUGACACAGUUUCCAGUUCUACACCACACCCAAAUCGCUCAAGCUGGUAGCCAGAGAGAACUUAGAGGUAUCUCUCUCCUACCAGACUGGGCUCCCUACUUCUUUAAGUAGAAAAGGCAAGCAUCUGCUCACAAACUUAAAAGGGCCCAACCCUUCUUUCCCAAUCUAUGUGGCUAGUUGUCACUCUCUUCUCUCUUCCGUCUUUGCUCACAGACUUUCAUGUGUGUGGCCUCCAGGCAUGCUGUGUCCCCUCCUUCAAGUUUGUGAGGACUAAAAACACUUUUUUCUCAUAGACUCUUUCUUGUGUUUUCAAUUGACACAUAAGGAUUGUACAUAUUAAUGGGGUAGAGAGUAAUAUUUGAAUACAUUAUACAGUAUUAAUGAUCAAAUCCAGGUAAUUAGCAUAUUCAUCACCUCAAACAUUUGUCAUUUCUUUGUGUUGAGAACAUUCAAAAAUCCUCUCUUCUGGCUAUUUGAAAAUACAAAUUAUUAACUAUAGUCACCCUAUAGUGUUAUAAGAAUACUAGAACUUAUUUCUCCUGCCUAGCUGUAAUUUUGUAUCUGCUAAGCAACCUCUCCCCACCCUCCCCUCCCGACUGUGCUUCUAGCCUCUUAAUAGCGACAAUCCUAUUCACUGCUUCCAUUAACUCACUUUCUAGCUCCCACAUGUGAGUGAGAAUGUGCGAUAUUUAUCUUUCUGUGCCAGACUUAUUUCACUUAAUAUAAAUGUCCUCCAGAAUCAUUCAUGUGGCCACAAAUGACAAGAUUCCAUUCUUUGUAUGGCUGAAUAAUACUGCAUUAUGUAUAUACACCACAUUUUUUAUUCAUUUACUUUUUGUUGGACAUUUAGGUUGAUUCUAUAUCUUGGCUAUUGUGAAUAGUGCUGCAAUAAACAUGGUGAUGCAGAUAUCUCUUCAAUACACUGAUUUGCUAUCCUUUGGAUAAAUACUCAGUAGUGGAAUUGCUGGAUCCUGUGGUAUUUCUAUUUUUAGUUUUUUGAGAAAACUCCAUGAUGUUUUCUAUAAUGGCUGCACUAAUUUACAUUUCCACCAACUGUAUAUAAGAUUCCCCCUUACUAGCAUUUGUUGUAUUUUGUCUUUUUGAUCAUUGCCACUCUAAUAGGAGUAAGAUGACAGCUCCUUUUGGUUUGAAUUUGUGCUUUUCAGAUGAUUAGUUAUGUUGAGCAUUUUUAAUAUACUUCUUGGCCAUUUAUAUGUCUUUUUAAAAAAAAAAAAUAUUCAGAUCUUUUGCCCAUUUCUUAAUUGGAUUAUUUGGGUAUUUUUUUGUGUUUUUUUUUUUUACUAUUGAGUUGUUUGAGUGCCAUGAUACUUGUAUAAAAACAGACACAUCGACCAAUGGAACAGAGCCCAGAAAUAAGUCCCCAUAUUAUGGCCACCUGAUUACAAAGUUCCCAAGAUAUAUAUUGGAGAAAGGACAGCCUCUUCCAUAAAUGGUACUGAGAAAACUGGAUAUUCGAAAUGUGGCGUACGGAAGACCCACUCCCCAGCGCCACUCAUGGGGGGCCCAAGUCCUUCUGAUCGAGGUGGGAAAUGUGGCGUACGGAAAACUGGAUAUUCAUAUGCAGAAGAAUGAAACUAGACCCCUAUCUCUCACUAGGUACAAAAGUCAAUUCAAAAUGGAUUAAAGAUUUAGAUGUAAGACCCCAAUCUAUAAAACUAUGACAUGAAAACACAGGGGAAAUGCUUCAAGGCAUUGGUCUGGGCAAAGAUUUUUAUAAGGAAGAAUUCAAAUGCACAGCCAAUAAAAACAAAAGCAGACCAACUGGGAUUAUAUUAAACUAAAAAGCUUCGGCACAGCAAAGAAAACAAUCAACGAAGUGAAGGGACCACCUGUAGAAUGAGAGAAAUUCUUGGCAAUGUUAAAACUCUUAAACUUUCCACUGUGGUUGUGUUAUUGAAACUGUGCCUGCAGUCAGACCCCUGAUGCAGCGAACACCCCACAGGGACCCAGGCAGGUGGAUUUCCUGCGUGCUCCUUUGUCCAGGAUUCUGGUGGCUAUGGGGACAGUGACUACCAGCUACAUUGCUAGAGUUUCAUUCAAAACACGCUGGUACCCAUCGUGUAUUUGGAAGGUGGUCAUCAGAGCAGAUAGGUGGAGGUAAGCUGUAGGGAAGAGUAUAAGCUCCCAUAGAGGCUGGAUUUCAGUGUAAAUCCAGCUCUGGCACAGGCUGGGCAUACAAGCCUGGAUUAACUCAUAUUAACAUCUCUGAUACCCAUUUUCUUAUUCUAAAACUGGGAAAACUAGUUCAAACUUUAUUAUUUUAAGAAAUGGCUAAGUCAACAUUGUCAGGCCUCUGAGUCCAAGCCAAGCCAUUGCAUCCCCUGUGACUUGCACGUAUAUACCCAGAUGGCCUGAAGUAACUGAAGAAUCACAAAAGAAGUGAAAAGAUCCUGCCCCGCCUUAACUGAUGACAUUCCACCAUUGUGAUUUGUUCCUG
rnacentral:lncRNA from 1 species